rnacentral:rRNA from 1 species
GAUGAACGCUGGCGGCGUGCUUAACACAUGCAAGUCGAACGGUGAAGGCGGAGCUUGCUCUGCUGGAUCAGUGGCGAACGGGUGAGUAACACGUGAGCAAUCUGCCCCUGACUCUGGGAUAAGCGCUGGAAACGGCGUCUAAUACUGGAUACGAGCUGCGAAGGCAUCUUCAGCAGCUGGAAAGAAUUUCGGUCAGGGAUGAGCUCGCGGCCUAUCAGCUUGUUGGUGAGGUAAUGGCUCACCAAGGCGUCGACGGGUAGCCGGCCUGAGAGGGUGACCGGCCACACUGGGACUGAGACACGGCCCAGACUCCUACGGGAGGCAGCAGUGGGGAAUAUGGCACAAUGGGCGAAAGCCUGAUGCAGCAACGCCGCGUGAGGGACGACGGCCUUCGGGUUGUAAACCUCUUUUAGCAGGGAAGAAGCGAAAGUGACGGUACCUGCAGAAAAAGCGCCGGCUAACUACGU